UCCAGGAGUUGGGCCACGGA
rnacentral:misc_RNA from 1 species